GACAGAGGAUGCAAGCGUUAUCCGGAAUGAUUGGGCGUAAAGCGUCCGCAGGUGGCUGUGUAAGUCUGCUGUUAAAGAGUGAGGCUCAACCUCAUAAAGGCAGUGGAAACUACAUGGCUAGAGUGCGUUCGGGGCAGAGGGAAUUCCUGGUGUAGCGGUGAAAUGCGUAGAGAUCAGGAAGAACACCGGUGGCGAAAGCGCUCUGCUAGGCCGCAACUGACACUGAGGGACGAAAGCUAGGGGAGCGAAUGGG
rnacentral:rRNA from 1 species